rnacentral:rRNA from 1 species
AGUCGACGGUGAGCCUUUCGGGGUGGAUCAGUGGCGAACGGGUGAGUAACACGUGGGCAAUCUGCCCUGCACUCUGGGACAAGCCCUGGAAACGGGGUCUAAUACCGGAUAUUACCUGAGGGGGCAUCUUCUCGGGUGGAAAGCUCCGGCGGUGCAGGAUGAGCCCGCGGCCUAUCAGCUUGUUGGUGGGGUGAUGGCCUACCAAGGCGACGACGGGUAGCCGGCCUGAGAGGGCGACCGGCCACACUGGGACUGAGACACGGCCCAGACUCCUACGGGAGGCAGCAGUGGGGAAUAUUGCACAAUGGGCGAAAGCCUGAUGCAGCGACGCCGCGUGAGGGAUGACGGCCUUCGGGUUGUAAACCUCUUUCAGCAGGGAAGAAGCGCAAGUGACGGUACCUGCAGAAGAAGCACCGGCUAACUACGUGC